rnacentral:tRNA from 1 species
CUGGGGAGGCCUUAGCUUAGGUUAAAGUGUCUGAGUUGCAUUCAGGAGAUGUGUUUAGAGUUUCACAGGU